rnacentral:rRNA from 1 species
CCAUGACCCCAGGUCAGGCGGGAACACCCGCUGAGCUUAAGCAUAUCAAUAAGCGGAGGAAAAGAAACUUACGAGGAUUCCCUUAGUAACGGCGAGCGAACCGGGAAAAGCCCAGCUUGGGAAUCGAGCGGCUGUGCCGCUCGAAUUGUAGUCUGGAGAAGCGUCCUCAGCGACGGACCGGGCCCAGGUCCCUUGGAAAGGGGCGCCAGGGAGGGUGAGAGCCCCGUCCGGCCCGGACCCUGCCGCACCACGAGGCGCUGUCUACGAGUCGGGUUGUUUGGGAAUGCAGCCCCAAUUGGGUGGUAAAUUCCUUGCAAGGCUAAAUACUCCUGGGUGACCGAUAGCGAAGUAGUACCGUGAGGGAAAGGUGAAAAGGACUUUGAAAAGAGAGUCAAAGAGUGCUUGAAAUUGCCGGGAGGGAAGCGGAUGGGGGCCGGCGAUGCGCGCCGGCCGGAUGCGGAACGG